ACCUAAAGUCAAGCCCAACAAUUAUCACAUGUAAGACCACCUUGUCACUUUAAUCCAGUAAAACAUUUUACUAUUCUAGUAGAGGCGAUCAAAAAAAUUCUAGGCGCUUUAUAAAUAGUACCGCAAGGGAACGAUGAAAUAGCUAUGAAAUAGAUUAAAAGUACAAAAAAGCAGAGAAUUCCCUCGUACCUUUUGCAUCAUGGUUUAGCCAGUCUUAAUCAAGCAAAGUGAAACAUCAGUUUGACCCCCCGAAACUAGGCGAGCUACUUCGAAUCAACUAAUAGAGCCAACCCGUCUCUGUUGCAAAAGAGUGGGAUGAAUUCCAAGUAGAAGUGAAAAGCCUAUCGAGCCUAGAGAUAGCUGGUUACUCAAGAAUAGAAUUUUAGUUCGCCCUUAAGCUUCCUUAUGCACCCAAACAACCUGCUAAGCUUAAGAGUUAUUCAAAUAAGGCACAGCUUGUUUGAAAAAGAAUACAGUCUAUAACUAAGGGUAAGUAAUAAUAUUUGUGCUAAGUGGGCCUGAGAGCAGCCACCUUUUAAAAAGCGUUAAAGCUUCACACACCCUCCUCCCCCUCCCCCAAUACCCCCAUCUUCACCGAACCCUCUACCAAUACUGAGUGACCCUAUAAAUUAUAGGAGACAUAAUGCUAAUACUAGUAACAAGAAGUAGACCUUCUCCGAAAUGUAAGUGUACGCCAAAAUGGACACACCAUUGGCACUUACCGCAUCUGACUUAGGUAUAGUAACACUCACCCCCUCGAAAAACCUAUUAUACCUCAGCGUUAACCUAACACAAGAACAUUACCGGAAAGAUUAAAAGAGAAAGAAGGAACUCGGCAAAUCUAGGCCCCGCCUGUUUACCAAAAACAUCGCCUCUUGAUUAAAUAUAAGAGGUCCAGCCUGCCCAGUGACAUAGUUAAACGGCCGCGGUACCCUGACCGCGCGAAGGUAGCAUAAUCACUUGUUCUUUAAAUGGGGACUCGUAUGAAUGGCAUCACGAGGGCUUUACUGUCUCCUUUCUCUAAUCAGUGAAACUGAUCUCCCCGUGAAGAAGCGGGGAUACUAAUAUAAGACGAGAAGACCCCAUGGAGCUUUAAACCCAACGACACCCCUCAACCUCCUACCCCUAUUAAGUUGCUACAGCCCUGUUCGUUGGUUUUAGGUUGGGGUGACCGCGGAGCAUAAACAACCCUCCAUGACGAAUGGGACUACCCCCUUACCCAAGAACUACUCCUCUAAGGAUCAAUAGAUUGACGUAAAGUGAUCCAAGUAUUUGAUCAACGAACCAAGUUACCCUGGGGAUAACAGCGCAAUCCAUUUCAAGAGCCCCUAUCGACAAAUGGGUUUACGACCUCGAUGUUGGAUCAGGGUACCCAAGUGGUGCAGCCGCU
rnacentral:rRNA from 1 species